AUAAGCUCAGCAUUAAAUCUUGUAACUUGACAGUUAUCAAGAGAUGUAAUGUUAAGGAAGAUUCGUUUAUCCUAGAAUGUACACUUAGUCCAAGUCCACCUUGAAUGGGGCAUAUCCCGUAGAGGGUGCCAGUCCCGUAGUGACAAGUGUCUGUAAAUCAUUCUAGGUGAAUCUUUCCUUAGAGUCGGGUUGCUUGUAAAUGCAGCUCUAAGUGGGUGGUAAACUCCAUCUAAAGCUAAAUAUAACCACGAGACCGAUAGCGAACAAGUACCAUGAGGGAAAGUUGAAAAGAACUUUGAAGAGAGAGUUCAAGAGUACGUGAAACCGUUCAGGGGUAAACGGGAGAAAUCCGAAUAUCUGAAGGAAGUGAUUCACGUAAAAUCUACAUUGUACUAUAUUUGUUGGUCGAUGAUUAUAAAACUCCUUGCCUGUAACUUGUUGCAUGGUAAGGGUCCAGUUUUGUGUCACGAUUCACAAGUAUAUUGGUUAUAAUGUGGUUUACCGCAUUUCUACUUUCCUUAUAUAAAAAAGACGUCGCGACCC
rnacentral:rRNA from 1 species